UGAAUUAAAGCCAUAGAAAAAAUGCAUUCUUGAUUGACUAUUUUCCUAAAAUGUACACAGGAUUUAUAUUUCCUGCUAAAUUUCAGUGUUGACUCUCUUGUUUAAGAUGCUGCUUAUUGGCUAAACUGCUAUUAAACGUGCCUUAAAAUACCAUCUGUUACUCUUUUUCCAGUUGUAAAACCUUUAAGCCCCAUCUUUUUUACUUGUCUUACCGUUGUGAUGAAUUGACAGCUACUAUCAUUGAGGCAAGCUUUGUAAGGCAGUAAAAAUUUCAGACUAUUGUGUAUAAUUUAUUUUAUUUGUGUUAAUUAUUUUUAGUAUAAUAGGGGUGCAUUGUGUUUUCAUUCAGUUAUUUAUUUUGAUCUAUUUGCCUCUCCACCACAAGGGGGACCCAAAAAUCAAGUACUUUCUUGACGCUUUCAACGAAGAAGAAGGCAAAGCAACAAUAAUAACAAAGCUGUUUGCAGACUCCAUCUCCACUCUUCGGUUGCAGCUCAUAAAUAUUGUGCAUUGUCUCUAUAAAACACUUCUACGGACAGAGACCAAAAUUAAGUGAGGCAAAGUUGAUAAGGACGCACAUUAUUUCUUUAAAACGGAACUCUUAUGUUUAGACGCACAGACGCUAGCUCGAACUAGCCAUACCGUUAGCUAGUUUACAUUACACCCGGUUUUCUUUUCCCUGUCUCUGUUGAAUGUCACCGGGCUCCGCUCCUGCGUUCAGCCAUGGAGAGUUUGUACAAGCGGAAAAUGUUCGCGUCGAUGCGGAAAACCAAAGUAGAUGCGUCGAAAAAGCGGCAGAUAGGCUUGCCUGCCUCCAUCCUGGAUGACAGCGAUGAAGGCUCAUUCUCCUCCUCCUCCUCCUCCGGAUCCUUAUCCGACUUUGAAAGCUCACCGGAGGAGGACAGCGAGCAGGAGGAUCGUGAUCACAGCGAUUCCGGCGCCACUUCCAGCGACGACAGUCGCUUGGUAAAACGCAGGAAGCGCUCGUUCUUAGCGGACGGUGACAGCUCCUCGUCCUACAGUCCCGGAGAAGAUGAGGGCGACGACGACGACGAUGAAUUGAGCCAGGCCAAGACGCUGGUGCACCCGAGAAAGCGGAGCCGGCUGCAGCGACAGGAUGAGUCGGAUUCGGACCAUGCGGAGGAGAAGAGGAAAGAGAAAGCAAAGAGGCGACAGAGACACAAUAAGCUGCUGGCGCUGUCCCGGAGGAUGAAAGGCCGCGUUCCGAACCGGAGGAGGCGGAGGCGCCUGAAGCAGGGCACAAGUGAUGAGUCCAAAGAUCCAGAGGAUGAGGCUGGUGGUUGUGAAGAUGGGGAAAGCAAGAAAGAUCUUCCACAAGGAGAAGAACAUGAAGGUCAAGAAAAAGAAGAGGAGAAGCAUGAUAGCAAAGUGGAGACAGCAGAGGAGCAGGAGCAGCAAGAAGAGGAGGAGGCAGAGGCAAAGAGGAAAAAGUAA
rnacentral:lncRNA from 1 species